rnacentral:rRNA from 1 species
UACGUAGGGGGCGAGCGUUGUCCGGAAUCAUUGGGCGUAAAGCGCGUGUAGGCGGCUCGGUAAGUCCGGUGUGAGACCUUGGGGCUCAACCCCAAGCCUGCACUGGAUACUGUCGAGCUUGAGUCCGGGAGGGGAGAGCGGAAUUCCUAGUGUAGCGGUGAAAUGCGCAGAUAUUAGGAAGAACACCGGUGGCGAAGGCGGCUCUCUGGAACGGUACUGACGCUGAGACGCGAAAGCGUGGGGAGCGAACAGG